rnacentral:tRNA from 1 species
CAGGUUUGCUAUAGAGCUAUUUGUUAUUUACAUUAACAAUAUUAUUUGUGCGAUUCAAUUAAACCUGA